rnacentral:rRNA from 2 species
UUGACCUCGGAUCAGGUAGGGAUACCCGCUGAACUAAGCAUAUCA